CAGCAGCAGCCGCGGUAAAACGAAGGGUGCAAGCGUUAAUCGGAAUUACUGGGCGUAAAGCGUGCGUAGGCGGUGAGUUAAGUCUGCUGUGAAAUCCCCGGGCUCAACCUGGGAAUGGCAGUGGAUACUGGCUCGCUAGAGUGUGUCAGAGGAUGGUGGAAUUCCCGGUGUAGCGGUGAAAUGCGUAGAGAUCGGGAGGAACAUCAGUGGCGAAGGCGGCCAUCUGGGACAACACUGACGCUGAGGCACGAAAGCGUGGGGAGCAAACAGGAUUAGAUACCCCAGUAGUCCCUGUCUCUUAACA
rnacentral:rRNA from 1 species